AUCCUACUUCAUCACUGUGUUUUUUGUUUUUUUUUAUUUCAGUUCCUUCCAUCCGUUUGCAAUUGUCCAUCUGUUUGUUGAUGUUUAUUAAAUUAACUAAACCAUAUUUGAUUUGUUUGUUUGUAAUUGGAAACAUAGCGUAAUAAUAAUUUGUGUAUUUAGUGAUUAUCAUGAAUCUUUUCGGUGUGGAGGAAAUAGACUCUGGUUGAAAAUGAAUGGAGUGAGCAUAUAGUCAAUUGUAUAGAUGCAAUUACUACUUGAGUUUAUAUAACUGUAUUAUCUUGUAUUAGUAGCACAACGGGUCAACUAUUGGUUUUCUUUGGUUAAACGUGGUAAACAAUUGUUUCAUGGACAUGAUUAGAUACUGUUUUUAUUUACACCGUUGAAUAAUGUACUCAAAAUUCUAGGUUUUGCAGAGCAGAUAUUUCACGCAGCCGAUGGAAAAAAGAGUAGUUCAAUUUUCAUUGCAGUUGAUUCUUUGGGGGUUACAUAGUCGUAAGACAAGAUUCUAUUUUGCAACAUUAAACAAGAUAAAAAAGGGUGUGCAACUUUCAUCAGGUUAGCUCUUUUAUUCAUUUUCUUCAAAUAUAUGAUCUAAAACGCCUAUAUUGCAUAGAUUUUGCAUGUAUGAUGAUGGAAAUUCACAGCGCGCUUGAGUUUUUUAGAAACCAUACGAGUCGUAAGUUUGAUUAUUACUUAUCAAGUUGUCUUUCUCAUAAUGGGUUUAAGUGAUUUGGUAGUGGAAUAUUCAAUUUGUCAAUCCAGAGAGGAUGGUGGCAUGCUUAGCUGGGUGAGAAAGCGGCAAAUAAAAUGAACUUUUUUGUAUUCUAUGUGGCUGAAUAGGCAAAAUGACCGGGUUGAAUAACAGGUCAAUUAUAGUGUCGGUCGGGUCUGAUUUAGGUUUACCCAUCCAACAUUCUUUUUUUCCUUUUAUAAAAAAAUUAAAAGUACUUAAUGUAGUAAAUAUGAUUAUAACAUCUUUUUGUUAUAAUAAUAAUAAUAAUAAUAAUAAUAAUAAUAAUAAUAAUAAUAAUAAUAAUAAUAAUAAUUUAGUUCUGUAAAAAAUAUUUCAUAAAUUGGUGGCACAUCGCAAGUCUAUAAUUUGUAUCUGAUUUGUCCUUUAUUAUUGUCACUGUUGGGAAUUCUCAAAUUGAGCCUCAAAAUGCUUUGAUUCUAGCCAACGGUUAUCAGACGGGAUCAACAACCAAUCAGCAGAAACAGGGGGCUUAGUUUAUGAGUGUUAAGUAUGAUAUUAACUAAAGUUGGAUAAAUAUAUUUUGCUGAUAUUGAUGCUCCAACCCUUGAUUCAAAGAGUGGUGGAGACAGGAACUUCAAAGAUGUGAUGCCUAUUGCAACUGGUUAUGAGCAUGAGGAGCUUGAAGUGGAGCUUGAGGGUCGAAAUAUUUAGGAUAUCAGUUCUCACCGUUUGGUACUAAGGCAAGUACAAUGAUUAUUUUGUUUUAAUAGUUUUAUUCUGCACUAAAAGUCAAGUUAUGUUUAUUCGAUUCCGAUGACAGUAACUUUGACAAUAUGGGUGAAUGAUUUGAAUAAUCAUGACAUUAAUUUGGUUAUUGAUAUUUCUAUUUUUUAGUUCUAUAAUUAUAGAUGUGUUCUAAAUCGCUAACCACUUGGUCUGGAGAUUUCAUGUCAACAUCCGGUUAGGCUAGGGGUCAUGUGUUAUAUCUGCAACCUAUGCUUUGUGUACGUAUAGUCAAAAUGCAUUGUAAGGUAAGUUAUAAGUUGAACUUGAAUGGAUAUGAAGCAUAUUACUUAUGGAUUUGCAAAAUGGGCAGGUUUGGCGAGUUGGGUAAUUGGUCAAAACCAGUUCACCUCAAAAUGUCUGGUUCAAGUGCAUGAACCCACAAACACUUUUGGUUGAUUUUUAGCCGAUAUGAUUUAUUUCCAUCUUGAUUAAAUCUUUUAGAUUACCCAUUUGCCCCUUAGAAAUAUAGCAUAAUCAUAUUGACCCAUUUGUAUAUUAAUGGGUUGAAUUGCCAUUUGUUACAUUUGUUUUUUUUUCUUUUUUUGCAUAAAAGUUAGAUUCAGUUGUUCUGCAUAUUUCAUUAGCUGGGCAAACAUUUGGAAAAAAAAUAUGGAUUAUCAAUUUACUUUUUGGUUAGAAACGAAGAAUGACACAUUCUCUAUAUAUAGAUUUUAUGGCUGAAAUGAACAGUUUUUCGCUUUUACCGAGAUGUGCUGGCAUGGAAAUUCUGAUUAAUCAUAAAAGCUUGCUUAACUCUAUAUAUUAUAUACCAAGGUUGAUGAAUAGUGGAAAUGAGCAGUUUUCCAUGCGUGUACAUCAUGAUCUUUUAGCCACUACAUGAACACACGUCUCUACGAGACCUUAAUUACCAACAUGUAAUCAUCACGUUAGUAACAAAGUUACAAAACCCACUUUCACGGUUCAUCCCAUCGUUGCUUCAGCUUCAAGCAACCAGAAAUCAAACCUCACCGUCGCCCGAUGUUUAAAGCUAGGAACGACAAGGUUAUCGAUUAAGGAAGUGUUUGGAUGCUUCUAUAAUUCAGUCGUAAGGGUUUUAAUCGACGGAAUUAGACAAUGAAGGAAAGGUAGGUGGGGUUUUAGUCAGAUUCCUCAUUAUGGUAAUGUACUGUACUUUUAUUUUUAGUUCAUUUGCGAUUUUUACGAAUUAAUUGACUAUUUAUAUAGUUGAUUAAAAAAGUUUUUUUUUGGGUUCGGGUUAGAACGGGUUGAUUAAAAAGUUUUAUUUUUGUUUUGGAUCAGAAUGGGUCGAUCAAAAAGGGUUAUUUUGUUUUGGGUCAAAACGAGUCUCUUUGAAAAAGGCAUGGCAUUUAGAUCUUAGGUGUAAAAAUCUAUCUCAAUCAUGUUCAUCAAUCAUUACUUGAAUAACUCCAAUCAAUCAUUACUUGAAUAACUCCAAUGUUAGUAGUUAAUAUUUUGUUGAUGUUUUUUUUUAUAAAUUUUAGGAGUGGAUUUUUGGCUCUCUUUGUAACACUUUAAGAACAUCUUAUAGGAGGCUUACUUACUUUUAUAACUGAAAUUUUGAGAUUCGACUUCCAUAACUAUUCAGUGUUUAAUUUUAGCUGUACGUUUGCAUCCAAUGACUAGAAUUACUUUUAGUUAAAACAUGAUAUCUAUUUUUCUAUUGUCUAGAUACAUAACUAUUUAUUUGAUGUGGAGAAUGUUGUUGAUAACAAAUGUAGUAGCUUCCAAGCUAAUGCGAUAUAAGACAAAGCUGCACUGUUGUAGUUCUCAACUAGAAACAAUUUCAAAUGCCUUUGAUGAUGCCUUUUGGGGGAAGCGAUGAAGUUGUCCGUGAUGGUUGUGCUUACCAUUCUGAUACCAUAUAAUAGGUGGCGGUCAUGAUUUGUAUAAUUUUUUUAUUGUUUUUAUUUAAUUUCGGUUAUAAUACUUUGGUUUGUGGUGUUUUUAUGAUAGUUGUUUGGCCGUUUUAGCGCAUUUUAGGAGGAAAUUGUAACUUCGUAUGGAUACACUGAGCAUCAUAGAAUACUAGGCGAAGUGGACCGUUUGGAAGGGCUUAAACAAAUUAAUUUUCUCAGGUGCUCUUAAUGGUCUUAUGAUAUCCGGUUUGCCUAAUCAUCAUUUAGUCCUUAAAGUCGGUGUACCUGUAAUGUUGGUUCGAAAUAUUGAUCAACAAAAUGCUUUAUGCAACGGUACGUGAUUACGUAUUACUAACUUUACACACGUGUUAUAGAAGCUGGGAUUAUAUCCAGACGAAACGUAGGGACAAAAAUGUAUAUUCCACGAAUCUGAUUGCAAGGAAGUUUUUUCUGGGAUUUCAAUAAUUUUGUUUUUUUCUUCCAAUGUAUGCGUUUGUACAAAAUAUUAUAUUUCAAAGUAAAUAAUAUGGUUUUGGAUGAAGCCGCGCAUCGCGCGGGCAUUAACCUAGUAAUUAUAAUAAAAUAAGAUAUAAAAAAGUUUGGAAAAUCAUGUUUCCAUUUAAUAACGAGGAAAAUUGUUUUGUUUCUCAAAUUUUGGAGAUACAUAGAAAAAAAAAGAAAACAAAUGAAUUGAAUGAAAUUGAUGAAGUGCUAUUAUUGCAAUUAAUAUAGUGAUGAUGUUGGUUAAUUCAUUUAUCGGUGUAAUUGUUUAAUGUGUACAGAUGAAAUAAAGAAUGGAAUUUGAGUUCAAACUUUCAAAGUUUAAAUGGGCUGAUCAUGGCAAGUGGGCUGAAGUAUCUAGAUGAAGUGAUCGUGAAAAGCUACGAGGGAUUUAUGGGCUAAUACUACAUAAAUAUAAUUCAAAGAAACAACUUUGGAGGAUUA